GUACACAAAAAUGCACAUACUGUGAGCUCGAUGAGUAGGGCGGGACACGUGGUAUCCUGUCUGAAUAUGGGGGGACCAUCCUCCAAGGCUAAAUACUCCUGACUGACCGAUAGUGAACCAGUACCGUGAGGGAAAGGCGAAAAGAACCCCGGCGAGGGGAGUGAAAAAGAACCUGAAACCGUGUACGUACAAGCAGUGGGAGCCUCUUAAUGGGGUGACUGCGUACCUUUUGUAUAAUGGGUCAGCGACUUAUAUUCUGUAGCAAGGUUAACCGAAUAGGGGAGCCGAAGGGAAACCGAGUCUUAACUGGGCGUUAAGUUGCAGGGUAUAGACCCGAAACCCGGUGAUCUAGCCAUGGGCAGGUUGAAGGUUGGGUAACACUAACUGGAGGACCGAACCGACUAAUGUUGAAAAAUUAGCGGAUGACUUGUGGCUGGGGGUGAAAGGCCAAUCAAACCGGGAGAUAGCUGGUUCUCCCCGAAAGCUAUUUAGGUAGCGCCUCGUGAAUUCAUCUCCGGGGGUAGAGCACUGUUUCGGCAAGGGGGUCAUCCCGACUUACCAACCCGAUGCAAACUGCGAAUACCGGAGAAUGUUAUCACGGGAGACACACGGCGGGUGCUAACGUCCGUCGUGAAGAGGGAAACAACCCAGACCGCCAGCUAAGGUCCCAAAGUCAUGGUUAAGUGGGAAACGAUGUGGGAAGGCCCAGACAGCCAGGAUGUUGGCUUAGAAGCAGCCAUCAUUUAAAGAAAGCGUAAUAGCUCACUGGUCGAGUCGGCCUGCGCGGAAGAUGUAACGGGGCUAAACCAUGCACCGAAGCUGCGGCAGCGACACUAUGUGUUGUUGGGUAGGGGAGCGUUCUGUAAGCCUGUGAAGGUGGCCUGUGAGGGUUGCUGGAGGUAUCAGAAGUGCGAAUGCUGACAUAAGUAACGAUAAAGCGGGUGAAAAGCCCGCUCGCCGGAAGACCAAGGGUUCCUGUCCAACGUUAAUCGGGGCAGGGUGAGUCGACCCCUAAGGCGAGGCCGAAAGGCGUAGUCGAUGGGAAACAGGUUAAUAUUCCUGUACUUGGUGUUACUGCGAAGGGGGGACGGAGAAGGCUAUGUUGGCCGGGCGACGGUUGUCCCGGUUUAAGCGUGUAGGCUGGUUUUCCAGGCAAAUCCGGAAAACCAAGGCUGAGGCGUGAUGACGAGGCACUACGGUGCUGAAGCGACAAAUGCCCUGCUUCCAGGAAAAGCCUCUAAGCAUCAGGUAACAUCAAAUCGUACCCCAAACCGACACAGGUGGUCAGGUAGAGAAUACCAAGGCGCUUGAGAGAACUCGGGUGAAGGAACUAGGCAAAAUGGUGCCGUAACUUCGGGAGAAGGCACGCUGAUAUGUAGGUGAAGCGACUUGCUCGUGGAGCUGAAAUCAGUCGAAGAUACCAGCUGGCUGCAACUGUUUAUUAAAAACACAGCACUGUGCAAACACGAAAGUGGACGUAUACGGUGUGACGCCUGCCCGGUGCCGGAAGGUUAAUUGAUGGGGUUAGCGGUAACGCGAAGCUCUUGAUCGAAGCCCCGGUAAACGGCGGCCGUAACUAUAACGGUCCUAAGGUAGCGAAAUUCCUUGUCGGGUAAGUUCCGACCUGCACGAAUGGCGUAAUGAUGGCCAGGCUGUCUCCACCCGAGACUCAGUGAAAUUGAACUCGCUGUGAAGAUGCAGUGUACCCGCGGCAAGACGGAAAGACCCCGUGAACCUUUACUAUAGCUUGACACUGAACAUUGAGCCUUGAUGUGUAGGAUAGGUGGGAGGCUUUGAAGUGUGGACGCCAGUCUGCAUGGAGCCGACCUUGAAAUACCACCCUUUAAUGUUUGAUGUUCUAACGUUGGCCCGUAAUCCGGGUUGCGGACAGUGUCUGGUGGGUAGUUUGACUGGGGCGGUCUCCUCCUAAAGAGUAACGGAGGAGCACGAAGGUUGGCUAAUCCUGGUCGGACAUCAGGAGGUUAGUGCAAUGGCAUAAGCCAGCUUGACUGCGAGCGUGACGGCGCGAGCAGGUGCGAAAGCAGGUCAUAGUGAUCCGGUGGUUCUGAAUGGAAGGGCCAUCGCUCAACGGAUAAAAGGUACUCCGGGGAUAACAGGCUGAUACCGCCCAAGAGUUCAUAUCGACGGCGGUGUUUGGCACCUCGAUGUCGGCUCAUCACAUCCUGGGGCUGAAGUAGGUCCCAAGGGUAUGGCUGUUCGCCAUUUAAAGUGGUACGCGAGCUGGGUUUAGAACGUCGUGAGACAGUUCGGUCCCUAUCUGCCGUGGGCGCUGGAGAACUGAGGGGGGCUGCUCCUAGUACGAGAGGACCGGAGUGGACGCAUCACUGGUGUUCGGGUUGUCAUGCCAAUGGCACUGCCCGGUAGCUAAAUGCGGAAGAGAUAAGUGCUGAAAGCAUCUAAGCACGAAACUUGCCCCGAGAUGAGUUCUCCCUGAGACUUAGAGUCUCCUGAAGGAACGUUGAAGACGACGACGUUGAUAGGCCGGGUGUGUAAGCGCAGCGAUGCGUUGAGCUAACCGGUACUAAUGAACCGUGAGGCUUAACCUUACAACGCCGAAG
rnacentral:rRNA from 1 species